AUGGAAACCACCAUUGUAUGGAACAAUGCAGCAACAGUUGGUGCUCAGCUAUUCGAAUCCACACGGACGAUGGAGUGGAAAGAUAUGAAGAUACCUGCUGCUCAGCCGCAGAUGAUUACGAAGGAUCACAGCGGAACUGAAAAUCCAGCUUCUGAUGAUCAUCAAUAUUUCUCGAUGUUUGUGUUUAUGCUCGGUUUGGCAUACCAGAGGGAAGGAGCAACCAAGCCCUCAGCAUUGAUUAUUGAUUCCAUUCUUCACAGCACUCAGUUUCAUGUCCUAUUUGCUGUAUUUCUUCUUUGCCGUUAUUUGUUUCAAAUAUCACUGUAUCAUGUGCUCUUCCCCGUCAUUCUUGUCCCACUAAUACUUUCUAUCUACUUCUACAUCAACUAUGAGCCAUUUCUCUACUUGGAGGAAGAUAUCAAGCGGAUCAGAAGAGAAUCGAGGUUACUGCAUGCUAUUUCAGAGGAUGCAGCAAAAGUAAUGGAGUUAACAGAAGAGAUAAACACCAGAGCCUGUCAAAUCUGGGAAUCUGACCACUACUCUGUUGGAGCAACUAUAGAAGGGCUGGAUAAAACCGAGUUGGCAUGGGUUGAGCAAGCCAAAUCCAUUGUUCGAAGAGCAAAAUAUUUGGUCGAAACCUUUGAGAAACACAGAAGGGACUCCCACAUAAUAAGUUUUGCUACAAUCAGGAAGAAUCUCAGCCAGAUGGGAGAGCUUUCCAGUGAAACUAACCGGGUUAAAGAGGAGAUAAAAAACAUCAUUGAGAAGAAGGUGUGUGGGAUUAACAUAUGCGAAUCACUAGAGAGAUUGAGGUCUGACAUUAGAAGCCUUCGGGACAGAUCUGUUGAAGAACAAGAGCAUAGAUGGGUACUAAAUUCCAAAGAAGGAGCUGCCUCACCAGCUGAUUUGACUUUCUCUACAUCACAGAAAAUAAAAAGGCUGAUAAUUCAAGACCCAGUCUUAAUGCGUGAUACUGGAGAGAAAAUAAAGGCAAUAAAUCUGCAGUUGCUUCUGCUGCACCCUUUUCUGAAGGAUAUAGAAGGACUUCAGUUUGAGAGCGAAACUGAAAAGGCGUGGGUGGAAGAACUGGAAGAGAUCAUUAAUGAAGCACAUCCUGCCAUUGAAAACUUCUCACAGAGGCCUCCGUUGUUAUCAGUUGCUGGCAGUUGGAAGGCAUGGAGGAAUCUCAAACAGAACAUAAGGUGCAUUGAAGUUGGGUUCUCAGACCUUUUAGAAAAAAAAGAUAGAUAUGGCUUCAGAUUUAUAAGCAGAGAUUCAUCAAAGUUUGUCUAUCAACCCUCCUACCGCACCACUGCUGGCGAAUUUGUUUCACCUGUACUAGACAGUUUGCGACAGCACCUGGAGUCAUCGGUGUUUGAGGUAUAUUUUCAUGUCAAAUGGCUAUGCAAUAAAUUGGAAAAGAUGCCUAAACUUCUAGAUGAUGCUGGAAAAAUUAGAAGCAGAUAUAAUUCCAGAAAAGCUGGGUUGGAGCAAAUGAAGAAAAUUGUUCUAAGGGCAGAAAAAUCUGUGAAAAAAUUCGUGAAGGAUUCAGACACUUCGAAAACAAGAGAUGGGAUGAAGCUUUUUCAUGAAAUUGACCAAAUCAAUCGUACAAUUGAUAUUUUUCUAAGAUGCAUAAAAGCAUACACCAUUGAAUUGACCGAAGAGUCAAGCUCAGUGGUUGGUUUGGAAGAAGACAUGUUGGCAGUGGUGUCACAGCUGACAACCAACAAUGAACAUCACUCUGUUAUUUCAGUUGUGGGGGUUGAGGGAAUAGGUAAGACAACACUGGCAAAGAAAAUUUAUAACCAUGGAGUUGUUGUGGACCAUUUUCCCUGCCGUGCAUGGGUUUCUCUACCUCACGGCGACUCUAAUAACAAAGAACAGCUGAUUUUGGAAGGUGUAGCAAAGCAGGUCUUGAGGUCUCUUAAACCAGAAGGGCGCCAAGAGAUCAAUCAGAAUGAAUCCAGCAGGAUCGACGAGGCACAUAAUAUCUUAAAAGCUGAGCGGUGCCUUUUAGUUAUUGACAACAUAUCCACAAUGGUAGAGUGGAAUACUCUGAAAGCAUCAUUUCCAGUAACUAAAUCAAGUGGGAGCAGAAUUCUGCUCACUACACGCAACCACAAGUUGGCUUCACAAGUCGACAGCGACAACCCUCCCCACCAGCUUCGACCACUAACCAGAGAAGAGAGCUGGCAGUUGUUCAACCAGGCGGUGCACUUCCCUCCAAAAUGGAAAAUGCUAGCAAAAGAAAUUUUGAGUAAAUAUAAGGGUUCACCAUUAGCCAUCUCAAGAGUUGAAAAGGGUGAUCCAAUACAUCAACCAGAAUGAUACAGCAUCGAUUCGUACCUACACCAUAGGGUGUGCGGAUAAGUUACCUCCUCAUCUAUCCCAUUGUCUUUCUUGCUUCAAAGUCUUCCCAAGGGAUUUCAAAAUUCCUACGAGGAGAUUAAUUGCUAUGUGGAUUGCAGAAGGUUUGGUAGACGUAAGGGAUAAGACGACAGAACCUUAUGAAGAUGUGGCACACGUAAGGGAUAAGGCGACAGAAUAUGAAGAUGUGGCAAACACGUAUUUAUCGGAGUUAAUUGAUCGGGACAUUGUUCAAGUAGUUGAAAGAAAGGUGAAUGGGAGAGUCAAGACAUGUUGCUUGCACAAAGAUUUACAAGAACCGAUCAGGUCCAAAUCUAUGAUGUUAGAUCAGAGGCGACUUGCUGAUCACUUAAACUCUUAUGAUCCAAGUUUUUGUCUUAUUCAUAGUGACAGCUCAGAUUUUCCAGACUCAUACAAAAAACUCAUCUCUAUUCUCUCCUUUGAUUCUAGAGAAGGAUAUAAGCCUGGAGAAGAAAUAGGCAACUUUCUACGAAAGGGCAUUGCAGGUGGUUUCUUCCAGCUUCUACAGGUUCUUGAUCUUGAACGUGUAUUCAGACCUGAAUUGCCCAAAACCAUUGAGAAAUUAAGCAAGUUGAGGUAUCUAGGCUUGAGGUGGACUUACCUUGAAUCAAUCCCUACUUCCAUUGGUAAUUUGCUGAACCUACAAACCUUGGAUGUGAAGCAUACAUAUGUCCGCACUCUCCCCCAUUCCAUAUGGAAACUACAGGAACUUCGACACCUAUACUUAAGCCAGAAUUACCGAAGUAAACUAAUGCGUCAACAAGGACGUCGCAGUUCCUUGAAGAAACUUCAGACACUGUGGGGUGUAUUUGUGGAUAAGGAUAGUCCUUUGAAGGAUGGGUUGGACAAGUUUACCAGUCUCAGAAAAUUAGGAUUGGCAUUCCAGUUAGAGAAGGAAGAUCAAAAGGCGUUAGCAGACGGGAUUCUAAAGCUGAAGCACCUUCAAUCUCUAAGAUUGAGAUCAAUUGAUGAAUUGGGUGAACCUCAUGCUCUAGCGUUGGAAUCUUUGUCAGCACUUGAGAAUCUCUCUAGCCUAAAUUUGUUUGGAAAGCUAGUUCCCUCCAUCAUACCUGAAUUACCUAAGAACCUCACUGAUCUUACUUUGUCAGCCUCUUGUCUUCAAGAAGAUCCAAUGCCGAAGUUAGAGAAGCUCCAAAACCUUAAAUCACUUUGUUUCCAUUCCAAGUCUUAUACCGGUAACAAGAUGGUUUGCUCCAACUGGGGGUUUGAAAAGCUUUUAGUUUUAAAGUUGUGGAUGCUAGAACUAGAAGAUUGGGAUGUUGAAGGAAAGGCAAUGCAAAAUCUCAGGGAGUUGGAAAUCAGAUCUUGCAAAAAAUUGAAUGCCCCAAGUGGGUUGGGACACUUAAAAACCCUCACUGAAUUGAAGCUAACAAAUAUGCCAGAAGUAUUUGUUACAACAAUCACAGAAACAAUGAGGCAAGUUUGGGUUGGCAUUAACCACCCCCCAAAAAUCAUUCCAAUCAAUUGGGAGUCAGAGGAAUAA